UUGGCGUCUCCGGGCGCCCGGGAGAGGCUGGCCUUACAGAGUUUGAGACCUUCUGCGAGGCUCGUAGUAGUUGUGUGUCUGCUUGCGGAAAUGGUUAUGGGCGCACAGAGGGCAGAUUCCCAUGAGGCAAGCAUAUCAUCCAGUUUGUGUGUCUUCAAAAGUUUUUUUUCCUCUACGAGUCACGCAUAACCACGUUCUUGCUGUGGAAGCACAGAUAGAUACUUGUUGAAGAGGACCUGGGACUUAUAGGCCUGCCUGCGAAGAGGAAUGUAGAACAUCUUUCCCAUUUUGUAUAGCACUGGCACCCGCCAUCGUUCAACACAUAACAGAAACUUGACCUCUGACGGCUCCUGAGCUUCUCAGUGGACCACGCUGGCCCUCUGCAGAGAAAACACCUCAACUCUCUGCGCCCCAAGUCCAAGGCUAGUGUGAAAACCCUCACUGGGCCACACGAUUUCUAGACAAAGCUACUGAGAUGGGCUCUGGUUGUGACGCCCCUUUAGUACUUGGCCCGGCCACUCAUUUCCUGCUCGUGUGGAGUCUGAAGAUGUCACCCAGGAAGCUGCCUUGGAGUUGAGGCAGGUGAAACAAAGGCAAGUCCUUGAGCAGAUCCUUCAGGGAGCGACUUCAGGUCAAAGCAUGAGUCCACAAUUCUUGGAGAUGAGAGAAGACUGGUAUUGGUCCCUUCGGUACCAGUAACCUGCACCAGGAAAAUGGCCUUCUGUCUUCAAGCCUGUGGCUGCACUGGGGAUGGUCACAAUGCAACUCAGGCCUCCCCUGCCUUCAGCAUUUGGUGAGAAAGGACCAGAUGGGCUGUUCAUUCCUCGCCAGCCUCCUGACAUUUCUCAGAUACCGAAGACCCAGAUGAACACGGUGCUUGGGACGGUGGCUGAGACGAGGGUGCUGGUACCUGUGGUAAGCAUGUACUGCAGGGUGCUCAGAUUUUACGUGACUGUGAACUUGGAUUCACUGACCACCAGCACCCGCCUCAUAUUCUCUGAGGCAUGCAGGGUGUCGGGUGGGCAUGUCUGGUGGAGUCGCUAGAGACUCCUGGGGCGUUCCUCUCUGCUGCUGGUGACCUGGCCCCUCCACUUCACUUCUGGCCACAACUAUUAGAAGCUGGAAGUGGGAGAGAGGGAGAAAUGGGACUUAGGUGUUUGCCUCAAGUCUGCACGUCAUCCAGGAACAUUCCUGGUGUCCUCAGAGCUUGGAUUCUGACAGUGGUGAGCCUCACAGGAGGGUGUGAAGUCACGUCGUCUGAACCCAGGACCAUGCUUCACGGGCACCUAGAGUUACAGAGGGCGAGCAUCUUCCUGGUUUGACCAAGAAGCCAGCUUCUUUUAUGAUGCCUCUGAUGGUUUCCACACACUGAAAAGUGUGUCUACCUCAGGGCCUUUGCAUCAACCCUCUUUUUAGGAUCCUGGGCUCAGGUAAGAAUGGGAAGAUCUGUCCCAAGGGAGCCACUCAUAUUGCAAUUUGGCCACAGUCACCCCAAGAAGACAUGUAAACUCUGUCCAAAAUAAAGAGCAAGUGGCAGAAAAACCGCUGACUCCUAUAGGACCAAGAUCUUUUAUUAUUACAGGGGUUAUAAAGUUGAGAAUACUGAGGUUUUUUUCUCCUGAUAAGGAAGGCUUAUGAUAAAAUAUUG